UUCAAGGUAAAACAAUUGAUAAAUUUGGCUAAAAAAAUGGUAAUUUGCAACAAAAUUUUUAAAAUUGGUGGUCUUGUGCAACAUUUUUUAUAAAAGGUGGUUAUUUGCAAAAAAAACAAGAUUUAAAAGGUGGUUUUUUUUGCAAAAUUUCAAAAAAAAAAAAAAAAAAACAAAAAAACUCCAAUGUGUUCCUCUUCUCUGUCAAGUGUGACUGUGAGAGCCGACUACCCGAAUACCGCCAUUACCCAUCAGACCCACCCGAGUGCCGCCACCAUCUUCUCCGUCACGACGACUACAACCUUCAGCCCAACCCGUCACUCUCGAAGAAUUCUCCAUGAUUUUUUCUCAGAAUACGAAUGUGGAUAUUACCUUCCUAUGGAGGAGUUAUCGUGCUACCAAUCGAAAACACUCUUGCAAGGUUAAUGAAUUACCGUCUAGCCCACACAAAACAUUUCACUCAGUUUUGAAACUAUUCAUCUCCAGUGCGAAUGAUGAUGGCAGUAUAGUGUCGGCUUUCCCGUGCCUUCUUAAAUCCUUUCCGCUUUUGGAAAAGCUUGAGAUGAGGUUUCCAAAUUCUCCUGGCCGUCAGAGCUCUGAACUUCCGAUUCCAUAUGUCCACAAGAAUCUGAAGGAGGUUAAGCUGACUAAUUUCCAUACAAAGUGGAUACCAGUUGCUAUCUACUUGUUGCAAAGUGUUUUCAUGUUGGAUAGUAUGGUGAUUACCAAAACAUCAAAAGGAUAUAUUAAUGUGGAACCUUGGAAUUGGAUAUUCGUUGAGAAAGAGUUCAAUCCUAAAGAACGUAUAAUUAUUUUAAAUUCGUUGAUUGGAAAGGCAUCAUCAACUAGUGCUAGAGUUACCCUUGAAUAAUCUUAUUCCUGGUAAAGUGAGAGUUACCUUUAAAUAAUCUUAUUCUUGGUUAUAAAUUAAUUUUAUGCUCUUUAAUCUGACUUUUUUCCCUUGCAGCUUUAAUAUUAUUUGAAUGAGUAUGAUAGGUGAAUCGAUUUUUGUGAUAGUGAUGAUGGAAUUCAAAUUUUGUUUGCUUGGAUUUUUUUUUUCUUGAUUCAUGUUGCUGUUUAAGUAAGGAUAAUGGAAUUGAUUGUUCAAUUUGUAACUUUAUCAUGAUGGAUCGAUAUUUGAUUGUUCAAAUGUAAUUGACUAGGUAUGGAACUACAAUAAAUUGUUUUUUUUUUUAAAAAAAAUAAAUAAAUAAUUGUUGUUGGUUUAAGUAUUGAUUAUUUCCUUUAAAAAAAGUUAUUGAUUAAUUUUUUUGACAAUGGUUUAUGGUCCCUUUGGUGUUGUUGUGGAUAUCCAUCCUAGAGUAAGUGGGACGUUGGACUUUUUCUCACUAUUUAUUUAUUAACUUUGACUAUAAUGUUUUACUAACAUAAUAAAAACAUAUUUCCUUAACCCCUAAAAAAUGAUUAAUAAGUUACUGUAGCUUAUCUAUAGUGACUUUCUGCAUAUGCCCCUCGAGGUGUUGAUUCAGCCAAUUGCUGAAGUCGUCAAGGGUUCUUUGGAGGACUAUGAUGAUAGCCUAAAAGCUUGUGUCGAAGCGUCAAAGAUGUGGAUGCAGGAAAGGAUUUGAAUUGGAAAGGAACUUCUUGAGGCCAAGUGUGAAAAAAUUCAAAAAAAGAUAAGGCUGAACGAAGAUGCAAACUUGGGUUGCCUCCAGAAGAUCCUGCUGCUGCAAACCUUCUGAACCCAUUGUUGAGGAGAAAAAGAGUAUUUUGCCAGUUAAGCCUAUUACGAAAGCAGAGCAAAUUAGAGAGUGCCUUUGAUUUUUAAAAACGAAUCAUAAGAUUAGGUCUUUCAUUUUGGUGUGCCUGAGAAUGGCAAUGGACUUAAGAGUUAGAAUGCUGAGCCAUUCAGGGAAUCAUCUUGAGAGCGUCUUUUGACUGUUUUGAGACAGAAUGCUUCUAGGUUGUUGAUGGAAGAUAUCUACAGAAAUCCAAGUCCUCUUCAAUUUGAUGGCCCUUGUGUUGAUGCUAAGGUUGUUAGUGUGUGUGCGGAAGACCAGUUUUAUAUGGGCUGUAUCAAGCAUCUGCAAGAAUUUUUAGACAAGGUAUAUGAUCCUUUCACUCCACUAUCAACUCUCAUAGUUUCGUGCUUAUGUGGUCAUGGAUCCACCUCGUUGGUUGGAGAUUUUGGAGUAUAAAUGACCUUCUGGCUGUACUCCUAGACACUUAACAGUCUGAGGAAUAUAGUCUGGCUGGAGAUUUCAUUUUAUUUUUGUUUUUUUUUAAAAAAGAGCAAGGACGAAAAAUGACAAUCUGUGGUACGAUGUAUUAGAUAAUAUUGCUAAGCAUAAAGAAAACAUACUAUCAAAACACGAACAUAGCAGCAUUAGUGAAUGUAUAACGAUAUUCCUUUUUGCAUUCUUUUGACACUUACGAUUUCUAAAUAUUUAACUAAUUACAUUUGUUAUUCUUGUUGCUGCUA